CUGUGGGUAGUUCAGUUGGUAGAACUCUUGUUUUGGGAACAAGAAGUCGGGAGUUCAAAUCUCUCCCCACAGA
rnacentral:tRNA from 3 species